GAGCGGUAGAGAGAAGCUUGCUUCUCUUGAGAGCGGCGGACGGGUGAGUAAUGCCUAGGAAUCUGCCUGGUAGUGGGGGAUAACGUUCGGAAACGAACGCUAAUACCGCAUACGUCCUACGGGAGAAAGCAGGGGACCUUCGGGCCUUGCGCUAUCAGAUGAGCCUAGGUCGGAUUAGCUAGUUGGUGAGGUAAUGGCUCACCAAGGCGACGAUCCGUAACUGGUCUGAGAGGAUGAUCAGUCACACUGGAACUGAGACACGGUCCAGACUCCUACGGGAGGCAGCAGUGGGGAAUAUUGGACAAUGGGCGAAAGCCUGAUCCAGCCAUGCCGCGUGUGUGAAGAAGGUCUUCGGAUUGUAAAGCACUUUAAGUUGGGAGGAAGGGUUGCUGAUUAAUACUCUGCAAUUUUGACGUUACCGACAGAAUAAGCACCGGCUAACUCUGUG
rnacentral:rRNA from 1 species